UGCGCUUCAGUUUUAUGUAUU
rnacentral:piRNA from 1 species